CUAGUAAUCGCGGAUCAGAAUGCCGCGGUGAAUACGUUCCCGGGUCUUGUACACACCGCCCGUCACACCAUGGGAGUCGGAAAUGCCCGAAGCCGGUGACCCAACCCGAAAGGGAGGGAGCCGUCGAAGGCAGGUCGGAUGACUGGGGGUGAAGUCGUAACAAGGUACC
rnacentral:rRNA from 1 species